rnacentral:rRNA from 1 species
GUGGGGAAUAUUGGACAAUGGGCGAAAGCCUGAUCCAGCCAUGCCGCGUGUGUGAAGAAGGUCUUCGGAUUGUAAAGCACUUUAAGUUGGGAGGAAGGGCAGUAAGUUAAUACCUUGCUGUUUUGACGUUACCGACAGAAUAAGCACCGGCUAACUCUGUGCCAGCAGCCGCGGUAAUACGAAGGGGGCGAGCGUUAUUCGGAAUCACUGGGCGUAAAGCGUGCGUAGGCGGUUUUGUAAGUUAGGAGUGAAAGCCCAGGGCUCAACCUUGGAAUUGCUCUUAAAACUGCAAGGCUCGAAUCUCGGAGAGGAUAGCGGAAUUUCCAGUGUAGCAGUGAAAUGCGUAGAUAUUGGAAGGAACACCAGUGGCGUAAGCGGCUAUCUGGACGAGUAUUGACGCUGAGGCACGAAAGCGUGGGGAUCAAACAGGAUUAGAAACCCUUGUAGUCC